CAGCAGCCGCGGUAAUGCGUAGGUGGCAAGCGUUGUCCGGAAUUAUUGGGCGUAAAGCGCGCGCAGGCGGAUAGGUCAGUCUGCCUUAAAAGUUCGGGGCUUAACCCCGUGAUGGGAUGGAAACUGCCAAUCUAGAGUAUCGGAGAGGAAAGUGGAAUUCCUAGUGUAGCGGUGAAAUGCGUAGAUAUUAGGAAGAACACCAGUGGCGAAGGCGACUUUCUGGACGAAAACUGACGCUGAGGCGCGAAAGCCAGGGGAGCGAACGGGAUUAGAUACCCGCGUAGUCCCUGUCUCUUAUACA
rnacentral:rRNA from 1 species